UUUUAUCAAUAUAUUUGUCUCUCUCUACUCUCAGAUUUGAAAAUGCUAAUUAGCAUCAAAGUAGACAACAUGCAAGACUACAAAUCCCUGCAAGCUCCUGCAAGUCAUCUCUAGCCAACACCUUUCACAGAACAGUUCACAGAUUUGUCCAUUGAAAUAAAUGUUGACAAUUUAAUCACUGCUACAUUAAGGCCUGAUUGGUGGAGUGCUGCAGAGAUGGUUGUCCUUCUGGAAGGUUCUCCCGUCUCCACAGAGGAAAUCUGGAUCUCUGUCAGAGUGAACAUCGGGUUCUUGUUCACCUCCCUGACCAAGGCCCUUCUCCACCGAUGGCUCAAUUUGGCCGGGUGGCCAGCUCUAGAAAGAGUAUUGGUGGUUCCAAACUUCUUCCAUUUAAGAAUGAUGGCUGCCAUUGUGUUCUUGGGGAACGUCAAUGCUACAGACAUUUUUUGGUACCUUUCCACAGAUCUGUGCCUCGACACAAUCCUGUCUCAAGGUCUACGGACAAUUCCUUUGACCUCAUGGCUUGCUUUUUGCUCUGACAUGCACUGUGAUCUGUGGGACCUUAUAUAGACAGGUGUGUUCCUUUCCAAAUCAUGUCUAAUUUGAUUGAAUUUACCACAGGUGGACUCCAAUCAAGUUGUAGAAACAUCUCAAGGAUGAUCAAUGGAAUCAGGAUGCAUCUGAGCUCAAUUUGGAGUCUUAUAGCAAAGGGUCUGAACACUUAAGUAAAUACAUUUGCAAAAAUGUCAAAUCUGUUUUUGGUUUGUUAUUAUGGGGUAUUGUGUGUAGAUUGAUGAGGGUAAAAAAAAUUACAUUUUAUAAUGAGGCUGUAACGUAACUAAAUGUGGAAUAAGUGAAGGUGUCUGAAUACUUAAUGAAUACUCUGUAUACCACUGGAAGAGGUUUCUAUCAUUGGCAGUUUUGUACACAGUCAGGUGAUACGUGGUAUAGAAAGUCCAAUCUUAGGAGAGAACAUGGGAGGCACUAUACUGUGUGUCUGCAGGUGUCUAUCUGGUCAAAACCACUGAUACAGGUGUCCCUCCACCCUCUGGUGGGAUGGAUCAUGUCUACAGAGAAACCUACAUUCAAAUACUUAGAUUUGUGUGUAUUGGGUAUAUGUUGUGAAAUUAUUAGAUAUUACUUGUUAGAUAUUACUGCACUGUCGGAGCUAGAAACACAAGCAUUUUGCUACACCUGCAAUAACAUUUGCUAAACACGUGUAUGUGACCAAUAAAAUGUGAUUUGAUUCUGAUUUGAAAUAAACGUCCUAUUUAUCAAAGGUGCUUUUGGCUGGAGUCAAAAUGACUCCAAAGGAUUUGAAUUUGUUAAAAGUCCUUAUUGAUACAGAAACACUAAACCAGGAUUUAGAUGUAUUAAGAACAAGUUGAUUGACAAAGUCAUGAAAAAUGGAAUAAACCACAUUUUGGCUGUGAUAAAAGAUAUGCCUCUGGGGUCAAAAUGAUCCAUGUCAGAACUAUGGUUCAAUGUAAAUAUGUAGUGGGUCUUGAGUUUGUUUUAAAUUAUCACUCAUUAAAAACGAAUCAAUCAACACAUGCUUUUCUUUGAACGACUUAAUUAAUAUGAUAAUCAACUUUAAUGAAAUAAAUUAAAAAUAAACUUUUGGUUCCUCAACUGCGUUGCCCCUCCAGUCAGCAGAUGGCGAUGUGCGUCUUUUAGGUUCAGGCGACGCUGCCAGUGUGACGUAUAAUCUAGUGGACGGGACGCUCCUUCAACAACAACAGUUAGACACCUCGGUAGCUUUAUAGCAAACAUAGCUACAACAUUCACUCUCUUUACACUGUUUUGGUGUAUGUUAGUCGCUGUGUAUUAAACACACUUCUGUCGUAUGUACGUGUUGCUCCAUUUAAUUAUAUAUUUACGUGGUUUGUCAGCUAGCUGGUUUGCUAAAUUAGCUUAGAGCUAGGCUAGUUGCUAAUGCUAGCUAGCGAACAUCUCCAACCAUGAGUUCACUAAGCUGCUCUCCUCCUGCUAAAGUAGAGGAGGUCUUCUGGACGGAGAAAGAAGUUCUCCUGAAAGAGGAGGAGGAAGAGAAGGAUGUUACAAUACAAAAACAAGUAGAGGGUGAGACUGUUACCGUGAAAGAAGAAGAGAAAGACGUUUCAGUGAAAGAAAAGGAAGACUCGUCCAGAGUGAAAGAGGAGGAGGAUGUUACCGUGAAAGAAGAGGAAGCGGAGAGAGAGGAGGAUGCAGUUUAUGGAGUGAAAGAGUAGGAGGGGGAGAUGACUGUCACAUCGAAAAAGGAGGAGGAGGGCGAAGAGGAGGAACCUGGAUAUCUGGGCCCGGUUUCCCCAACGCAUCUUAAGGCAUCCUAUGGUUCUAACGGUGAACUUGGCCAUAAGAUGGUUUGAGAAACCGGGCCGUGAUUAACACUAGAGAGAGACGUGACUAUCGUGGAUCCUCUGGGGAGCCUCAACAACAUCAUGAAGCUGACGAGGCAGAGAAGAGUCUCUCCCGAUCAGAACACCUCAAGAAACACCAGUGGAGACCAACAGGGAAGAAAUCUCACUGCUGGUCUGACUGUGGGAAGAGUUACUUAAGAUUAAAUUAACUAAAAGUACACAUGAGAAUUCACACUGGAGAGAAACCUUAUAGCUGUGAUCAAUGUGGGAAGAGUUUUACUCAGUCAAGCAGCCUGUUAUCUCACCAGAGAACACACACAGGAGAGAAACCUUACAGCUGUGAUCAAUGUGGGAAGAGUUUUACUCAGUCAAGCAACCUGGUAUCACACCAGAGAACACACACAGGAGAGAAACCUUACAGCUGUUAUCAAUGUGGGAAGAGUUUUACUCAGUCAAGCAACCUGGUAUCACACCAGAGAACACACACAGGAGAGAAACCUUAUAGCUGUGAUCAAUGUGGGAAGAGUUUUACUCAGUCAAGCAACCUGGUAUCACACCAGAGAACACACACAGGAGAGAAACAUUAUAGCUGUGAUCAAUGUGGGAAGAGUUUUACUCAGUCAAGCAACCUGGUAUCACACCAGAGAACACACACAGGAGAGAAACCUUAUAGCUGUGAUCAAUGUGGGAAGAGUUUUACUUCAUCUAGCCAUCAGAUUGUACACCAGAGAACACACACAGGAGAGAAACCUUAUAGCUGUUAUCAAAGUGGGAAGAGUUUUACUCAGUCAAGCAACCUGGUAUCACACCAGAGAACACACACAGGAGAGAAACCUUAUAGCUGUGAUCAAUGUGGGAAGAGUUUUACUUCAUCUAGUCAUCUGAUUAUACACCAGAGAACACACACAGGAGAGAAAUCGUAUAGCUGUGGUCAAUGUGGGAAGAGUUUUACUACAUCUAGUCAUCUGAUUAUACUCCAGAGAACACACACAGGAGAGAAAUCUCAUAGCUGUGAUCAAUGUGACAAGAGAUACUCUGAUAAAAGAUCUCUGAUCAAACAUCAGAAAAUACAUUAAUGAAGGAGUUGUUUCAUGAUAUGAAUGAAUUAAUGUCACAAUGUAGAAUGUUUAAACAUUGUAGUAGGAGUAUUUUAAUGAUGUCACAAUGUAGAAUGUUUAAACAUUGUAGAAUGAGUAUUUUAAUGAUGUCACAAUGUAGAAUGUUUAAACAUAGUAGGAGUAUUUUAAUGAUGUCACAAUGUAGAAUGUUUAAACAUUGUAGUAGGAGUAUUUUAAUGAUGUCACAAUGUAGAAUGUUUAAACAUUGUAGUAGGAGUAUUUUAAUGAUGUCACAAUGUAGAAUGUUUAAACAUUGUAGUAGGAGUAUUUUAAUGAUGUCACAAUGUAGAAUGUUUAAACAUUGUAGUAGGAGUAUUUUAAUGAUGUCACAAUGUAGAAUGUUUAAACAUAGUAGGAGUAUUUUAAUGAUGUCACAAUGUAGAAUGUUUAAACAUUGUAGAAGGAGUAUUUUAAUGAUGUCACAAUGUAGAAUGUUUAAACAUUGUAGUAGGAGUAUUUUAAUGAUGUCACAGUGUAGAAUGUUUUAACAUUGUAGAAGGAGUAUUUUAAUGAUGUCACAAUGUAGAAUGUUUAAACAUUGUAGUAGGAGUAUUUUAAUGAUGUCACAAUGUAGAAUGUUUUAACAUUGUAGAAGGAGUAUUUUAAUGAUGUCACAGUGUAGAAUGUUUUAACAUUGUAGAAGGAGUAUUUUAAUGAUGUCACAAUGUAGAACACUAAACGUUUGCUCCCUGUUCAAUUGAUUUCUGCAUAAUAUGGAUAUUAGCCUCAGGGGGGAAAUCCAGGCUCUGAAUUGAAAGAGUGAUAUUUAUAUGAUAUAACAGAAAGUGACUAACACAAAAAGAGCUGUGUUACACUUACAGCAUUGGUGACCCACUUGAAUCAAAAUGUAGCUAGAUGUUUUCUACAAGUUGUCCUCUAACCAGUGAUGUGCACAUUAUUCCCAGAUUCCAUGUGGUUUUUGAGCUGUUAGUUUUAACAGGACAACAACAUCUCCAGACUCUCACACAAAUGAUUUCAACAUGAUAUCGAUGAGUGAUGAAAAAUAAGUGUUGCGUUCCUUUGUUUAACGACCUCUAAAUGUAAAUGCAUCUCUCCAAAAUGUAGCUGACUGUCUUCUGCAGGUUGUCCUCUAACCAGGGAGGUAAAAUAUAUCUCCCAUUU